AAAUAGAAAAAGAUGACCCUUCAUGAAGCUGGUCUUAAAAGAGAGACUGCUGGGACUCUGUUGAAGUGGAAGACUUUUUUAACCAAGAUGACAAGGAAAGCAUUGCUAAAGACAGAAUCAAAAUCAAAGCAGUGUUCAAAAGGGCACAUUCCCGUGAACCUGGGAAGUUGAUGUGGACAGUCCAUUCUGAAAAGUGAGGUCAAUCCAGAAAUGGAGACAAUUCCUGGCUGCAUACAUCCACAUAAUGUAAAUUACUGCAUAGAUUAUUAACUGUAUAGUACCUAGUUCACUGCAAUAAACUACAAUAAUUUACAAUAAACAUUUUUUUCCAAAA